rnacentral:rRNA from 1 species
UGGUAGCGUAGCUAACGCGUGAAAUUGACCGCCUGGGGAGUACGGCCGCAAGGUUAAAACUCAAAGGAAUUGACGGGGACCCGCACAAGCGGUGGAUGAUGUGGAUUAAUUCGAUGCAACGCGAAAAACCUUACCUGGUCUUGACAUGUACGGAACUUGCCAGAGAUGGCUUGGUGCCCGAAAGGGAGCCGUAACACAGGUGCUGCAUGGCUGUCGUCAGCUCGUGUCGUGAGAUGUUGGGUUAAGUCCCGCAACGAGCGCAACCCUUGCCAUUAGUUGCCAUCAUUAAGUUGGGCACUCUAAUGGGACUGCCGGUGACAAACCGGAGGAAGGUGGGGAUGACGUCAAGUCCUCAUGGCCCUUAUGACCAGGGCUUCACACGUCAUACAAUGGUCGGUACAGAGGGUAGCCAAGCCGCGAGGUGGAGCCAAUCUCAUAAAACCGAUCGUAGUCCGGAUCGCACUCUGCAACUCGAGUGCGUGAAGUCGGAAUCGCUAGUA